UUUCUUUCAGGCUAAUAGCCACAUGCCAGUUGUCUACAGUCUCCGGCAUAUGUUUUUCUCCAGGCUUCAGCCCUCCACAUCAUCAUUAUUUUACACAUAUAUACAACAUUUACCCUAAUCUCUUUCUCUCAAUCGCAGGAAGCCAUUCAUGAUUCAACAAUUAAUCAGCCACCGUGAGAUCGAUGGCUUCCUUUUCAUCAACAGUGGCAGUGCUCUCCUUUUUUCCCCCAUCAUCAACGGCAUCCUCUUCAGUCUUUAUCAACAGCUGGGAAGGGAUGUUCUCCAUGAGGGUAAAGUUUAAUUGCUUAUGUUGAAUUUUUAUUGCUGGAAAGGGAUUUUUAGCCCCGGUUGCUCUUUGUCCCAUUCCUUUCUAUUUCCCCUUCUUUUCUCUCCCUUAUAAGACUAUGAUGAUCUGUUAAUUAAAAUGCAAUCUCUUCCUUGUUGAUCUGUGUUUUUAGCCCCGGCUCCCUUUAUGUAAUUGAUGGUGUUUGUGUCUUAUUUUUAGUCGAUGCUUGAGAUGUUGAAAAGAGAUUGCAUUUUAAUAUUUUGUCCACAAUAGAUGUAGGAGGAAAUUCUCGAGUUCACGAUCUGGACAUAUCUUAAGGUUGUGGUAAAGGCAAGAAGAUAAAAUGUUCUUUUUAACCUCUAUUAAAAUUCAAUGAUUCGGCCAGAUUUGACAUUUUAUUACAGGAUUCUAGUCUACUUCAAUUGUUCUUAAUGUCAUGCCUUCUUCUUGUUCUUACAAUUCAAUCAUUCCAUAAUCUUGUUUUAUCUCAGCAUAUUAAUCUGUGGAUUGUAUCACAUAUGUCCUCUUUGUACAAUAUGGUAUCGUUUCUUGAGUAAAGAUGGAAUCCACUGGCUUUGCUGGAUAUUUUUUCAUUGUAUUAUGACCAUCAGUUUCUUUUGUUUUGAAUCAUAUCUGUUGGCGAUGUCAUCUUCUUGUGAACUAUGGAAUUUAUACACCACCCGCUUUAGCCUCAUGGAUUUUGAUAGUGAUAUUUUUCAGUUGGUGAUAUCAUCUUUUGUAAGGUGUGGAAUUUAUUCUGCCCCCUCUUACCCCGAGAAUUGUGAUGGAUAAAAAAUGGCAUGAUCAUGUGUUUCGUUCCUCAGAGUGCUUGUUGUAAUUUGAAAAACAAAACUUUGUCAUUGCUGCCCCAUUUUAUAAAUUUUUAAGUACUUCUCUUAUGUGAUCUAUGAAAUUGAUGAACUCAUACAUAUAUGUUAAGUAGUUUUAGUUUAUAUGACACACCACCAGCAAAUUAUUUAUUUUAAGUUUGUUAAUUGUUAAUUAAUAAAAAUUUAUGAAUAUGAGUAAUUGUAUUGUAUUUUUAAAUUAUUUAAACUAUACAUUUAUUUUUAUUUGAACCAUGUAUUUUUAUGUGCUUGAAUUAUAUAUAGAAAAAAAAAUUUAUUUACGAUUUUACGAUCCGAGUUUAUAUUACAUUUUUUAUAUUGUGUCAAAAAUACAUUUUUGACAACCUUGGCUAUAACCCUUUUAUAAAUAAUAAAAGCGUUUAUACAUUGUUUAAAGAACUUUCAAAAUUCAAAAAUCCAUAUGCAUCACUACUCAUAUAAAGCAUCACCUUUAUUAGCUACAUUUCUAGUAAAAGAAGUUAUGGCACUCGUGUUUUCAGGUACUUUGCAGCCUCAUUUCCAAUUUGUUUAGCCUGUUGUUGCAACCCUUCAGCGUGAAGAGCUACUUGCUCAAUUUGUUUUGUCAUCUAUCUUAUUUUUAUCUUGGAAUAAGAUAUUAUCAAUGAUUAGUACUUCGUUACUGGUUGUUAAAGCUUCAUUGCUUCUCUCUAGCACUCAUACUAUAGUCUCCAACUAUGCUACCUUAGUCAUUGCCCUUUACAGAUACUCUCUCUCAUAGUCAAGCUCACUUAUUUUAGAGUUAAUUUGAAUUUCAAAACUAUCAAUAUAGUCUUAACAUCC
rnacentral:lncRNA from 1 species